CCCUAGCCCUGAUGGGAACGACAUCCUUUUGUGCCGGGGUUCGGCACAAAAGAUACAGUGGACAGCAGGAGACAGC
rfam:Flavobacterium sp. LM4 Flavobacterium_sp_LM4_contig2, whole genome shotgun sequence.